rnacentral:rRNA from 1 species
CCGUAGGUGAACCUGCGGAAGGAUCAUUACCGAGUGCGGGUCCUUUGGGCCCAACCUCCCAUCCGUGUCUAUUGUACCCUGUUGCUUCGGCGGGCCCGCCGCUUGUCGGCCGCCGGGGGGGCGCCUCUGCCCCCCGGGCCCGUGCCCGCCGGAGACCCCAACACGAACACUGUCUGAAAGCGUGCAGUCUGAGUUGAUUGAAUGCAAUCAGUUAAAACUUUCAACAAUGGAUCUCUUGGUUCCGGCAUCGAUGAAGAACGCAGCGAAAUGCGAUAACUAAUGUGAAUUGCAGAAUUCAGUGAAUCAUCGAGUCUUUGAACGCACAUUGCGCCCCCUGGUAUUCCGGGGGGCAUGCCUGUCCGAGCGUCAUUGCUGCCCUCAAGCCCGGCUUGUGUGUUGGGUCGCCGUCCCCCUCUCCGGGGGGACGGGCCCGAAAGGCAGCGGCGGCACCGCGUCCGAUCCUCGAGCGUAUGGGGCUUUGUCACAUGCUCUGUAGGAUUGGCCGGCGCCUGCCGACGUUUUCCAACCAUUCUUUCCAGGUUGACCUCGGAUCAGGUAGGGAUACCCGCUGAACUUAAGCAUAUCAAUA